AAUAGAGAGUUUUAUGUUUGCAUGUGUAUGUCCUAAUACAAAUGUCCUAAUACAAAUGUAUUCAUGUAGGACAUACAAAUGCAAACAUAAAACUCUCUAUUUACAUCCGUAU